AGCACCACCUACUCAGGUCCACCCUAAUAACAUCAGCCAAGGCCUCUACAGCAGCCCCCAAGCUGCCUCUGGAUAGUUCAGACAAGGCCUCUGUGCUGUGAUGGAACCAGGUGACCCGCAGCCUCCGGGCCAGGUACCAAUCCCAGGACUAUCGGGCAGACUCAGGAAGCAGCACAUGGGGAACAUUCUCAGACUUUCAAAAAAAAAGAACUGUAAAUGUCCACAGAGAGAGGACUGAUUAAACCAAGUACAUCUAUGCAAUGGAAUAUCCUGAAGCUGUUAGAACAUGAAGGGCC